ACCUCAAGUCAUGUGAGAGUACCCGCUGACUUAAGCAUAUCAAUAAGCGGAGGAAAAGAAACCAACAAGGAUUCCCCUAGUAACGGCGAGUGAAGCGGGAAGAGCACAAAUUUAAAAUCUACCUGGUUUCCAGGUCGAGUUGUAAUUUGAAGAUACGUUUUUGAUGUUCCUGGUUGGACUAAAUCCUUUGGGAUAAGGUAUCAUAGAGGGUGAGAAUCCCGUGUACACCAACCAUAGGGAUGUUAUUUAAUAACGUUUCUAAGAGUCGAGUUGUUUGGGAAUGCAGCUCUAAAUGGGUGGUAGAUUUCACCUAAUGCUAAAUAUAAGCGAGAGACCGAUAGCGAACAAGUACAGUGAUGGAAAGAUGAAAAGAACUUUGAAAAGAGAGUUAAAUAGUACGUGAAAUUGUUGAAAGGGAAACGAUUGAAGUCAGUCAUGCUGGCGGGAAUCAACUUAGGGGAAACUCUGGGUGCACUUCUUCGUUUGGCAGGUUAGCGUCGAUUUUGGAUGUCAUAAAAUGAUUGGGGGAAGGUAGCUCCUUCGGGAGUGUUAUAGCCCUUGGUAGAUGUGAUGUCUGGGAUCGAGGAUUGCAACGGAUACCCUUCGGGGCUAGUCGCCUGAUCUCUAAUUGGUGUUGGGUUACGGACAGCAUGCUGACCGUGAUCUAAUUACUGGUUAAAAGGUUAGAGCGUGCAUAAAUUCGUUAAGGACGCUGACGUAAUGGCUUUAAACGACCCGUCUUGAAACACGGACCAAGGAGUCUAACAUGUAUGCGAGUGUUAAGGG
rnacentral:rRNA from 1 species